rnacentral:rRNA from 1 species
GUGAGGAAUAUUGGUCAAUGGGCGCAAGCCUGAACCAGCCAAGUCGCGUGAGGGAAGACGGUCCUAUGGAUUGUAAACCUCUUUUGUCGGGGAGCAAAGCGCGGUACGAGUACCGCGAAGGAGAGUACCCGAAGAAAAAGCAUCGGCUAACUCCGUGCCAGCAGCCGCGGUAAUACGGAGGAUGCGAGCGUUAUCCGGAUUUAUUGGGUUUAAAGGGUGCGUAGGCGGAUUUGUAAGUCAGCGGUAAAAAUGCGGUGCUCAACGCCGUAUCGCCGUUGAAACUGCAGGUCUUGAGUGAGCGAGAAGUAUGCGGAAUGCGUGGUGUAGCGGUGAAAUGCAUAGAUAUCACGCAGAACUCCGAUUGUGAAGGCAGCAUACCGGCGCUCAACUGACGCUGAGGCACGAAAGCGUGGGGAUCGAACAGG